UACAGAGGUCUCAAGCGUUGUUCGGAUUCAUUGGGCGUAAAGGGUGCGUAGGCGGCGCGGUAAGUCGGGUGUGAAAUCUCGGAGCUUAACUUCGAAACUGCAUUCGAUACUGCCGUGCUUGAGGACUGGAGAGGAGACUGGAAUUUACGGUGUAGCGGUGAAAUGCGUAGAUAUUGUCAAGAACUCCGAUUGCGAAGGCAGCUUACUAGACUGUAACUGACGCUGAGGCACGAAAGCGUGGGGAUCAAACAGG
rnacentral:rRNA from 1 species